ACUCAAAUGAAUUGACGGGGGCCCGCACAAGCAGCGGAGCGUGUGGUUUAAUUCGAGGGUACGCGAAGAACCUUACCUGGGUUUGACAUACAAGUGGUAGGGACCUGAAAGGGAACCGACUUUUCGGAGAGCUUGUACAGGUGCUGCAUGGUUGUCGUCAGCUCGUGCCGUGAGGUGUUCGGUUAAGUCCGCAAACGAGCGCAACCCUUAUUGCUAGUUACAAGUGUCUAGCGAGACUGCCCGUGGCAAACGGGAGGAAGGUGGGGAUGACGUCAAAUCAGCAUGGCCUUUAUAUCCAGGGCUACACACACGCUACAAUGGCGCGUACAAUGCGUAGCGAAGCCGCGAGGUGGAGCCAAUCGCGAAAGCGCGUCUCAGUUCAGAUUGUAGGCUGCAACUCGCCUGCAUGAAGUCGGAGUUGCUAGUAACCGUGUAUCAGCACGGCACGGUGAAUACGUUCCCGGGCCUUGUACACACCGCCCGU
rnacentral:rRNA from 1 species